rnacentral:rRNA from 1 species
GACGAACGCUGGCGGCGUGCUUAACACAUGCAAGUCGAACGGAAAGGCCUCUUUCGGGGGGUACUCGAGUGGCGAACGGGUGAGUAACACGUGAGUAACCUGCCCUUGACUUUGGGAUAACUUCAGGAAACUGGGGCUAAUACCGGAUAGGAGCUCCUGCUGCAUGGUGGGGGUUGGAAAGUUUCGGCGGUUGGGGAUGGACUCGCGGCUUAUCAGCUUGUUGGUGGGGUAGUGGCUUACCAAGGCUUUGACGGGUAGCCGGCCUGAGAGGGUGACCGGCCACAGUGGGACUGAGAUACGGCCCAGACUCCUACGGGAGGCAGCAGGGGGGAAUAUUGCACAAGGGGUGGAAGCCUGAUGCAGCAACGCCGUGUGCGGGAUGACGGCCUUCGGGUUGUAAACCGCUUUCGCUCAUGACGAAGCUUUGUGUGACGGUAGUGGGUAAAGAAGCACCGGCUAACUACGUG